UUAGAGAUUUGUUUUGGAUAUUUUAAUUUUUUAUUUGAGGGUAAAAUGUGAGAAGUAAAAGUUUAGAGUUUUGAGGGUUGACGGAGUAAAAUUUGAGGGGAGGGGGAUAUUAAAAAAAAUUAGGGGGGGGGAGUUUUAGAGGUUGAGGGAGUAAAAUUUGGGGGGAAAAUAAAUGGGGGAGUAAAAUUUUGGGGAGCAAUAAGUUUGGGAUAGAGAGGGGUGGGACGGGAAGAGAAUAAAAGUUUUGAGAGGAAAGUGGGAAUAACAAUUUUGGGAGAAAGUAAAUAGAUUUGGGAGUUCAGGAGGUCAUUUUUACCCGGGCCCAAAACUAAAUAAAUAAAACCCAAAAUGAAAAAUAAAUAGUCCAAACAAUUCAAAUUAUCGGUCUAAAUUACAAACACAAUUACAGCCCAAAUAAAUUAAAACCCUAGAUGGCCCAAUUGGCCCAUAACCUAAACUCAGUUUCAGUAAAAACUAAAACACUAAUCUAACCCUAGCCUCCUAGUGCCGCUGCGCCUCCACGUGCCGUCUGACACCCCUGCCCCUGGCCGCCGCACGCCUCCUCCACGCAUGUCUGACACCUGCAAAGAGAGCCAACAAGCACAAGGCAACAAACAGAAGAAACAAAUAGCAAAAAGACAAAAAAAAAAUAGAAAUUAAUAGUUUUGUAAAUCGGCUAUAAAAGCCAUGAAAUAUCAAUGUAUGCUUCUUCUGGCUUUUUUCGGACACACAAGUAAUCAAAAUACAGAUUUUAGACUGUAGAAGGUGAUUUGUGUCUUAGUUAUUCUAGAUUUACUUUUUUAUUUUAUUUUUGUAAAAAAGAAUAAAUAAAGAAAAUAAAAAACCCAAAAGGGUGGUCGAAGCUUACCUGUUUCCUCGUGGUCUGCCACCGUCGGAGUUCUCCUCCGUUCGCCAAAGUCGCAGAAACCCUUUGGGGUUUCGCUUCGGCUGCGUCUGCAAAGAGGAAAACGGUGAGGUCGCAAAGGAGGCUGCGUCCUCUUCUCAUCUUCAUUUUCAGUAUUAAAAAUACCUGAAUCGGGUUUGCGUUUGAAGGAGAAAACCUCUUUAAAGAGAGGGAUUUUUAAAACAUUUUUUUGUUGCUCUCCAGCACGGUGGCGGCACGGCGGCGCCACGAUGGCGCUAAGCAGCCAACGGCCGAAAACCUAGGCCGGAGAAAUAUGGUGUUUAGAGAAAAUGGAGGUUUCUUGAAGUUUUUUUCUUUUGCACUGAAAAAAUGAAGUUUCAAGAAAAAAAAUGGUUUAAAUAAGAACACGAAACGGCGCCGUUUCGAUUUGGCCUCCUAGACGCCAAAACGGCGUUGUUUUGGGGAGGCCGACCCGAUCCUAUUAGCAGAGGAUCUGCGUGUUUUAAAGCCAAAUGGGCUACUUGUGCUGCUGGUCCUUCUGCGUUGUCGCCUGUUUUCAAUUCGGUCCUUCUGCCUUUUGUUUUGCGUUUUUAAUUUGACCCCAUUUUUUUGUGCCUAUUUCAUUUUGGUCCUGCAUGAAACGGUGCUCAUGAAGGCUGGGAAUAUUUUCCCAAUCAGUCCCUCUCUCUUUGCGUGCGUUUUGUUCGGGUGCAGAUUGCUCUUUUUCUUUUUAAAUUUUCCCCUUUGAUUUUAUUUAGUUCCCAAUUCGGUCCUGGGUCUGUUAUGUUUUAUUUUUAUUUAAUCCCUAAUAUGUUUAAUUUUAACCCUAAAUUUUUUCUUCAUAUAUUAUCAUUUUUAACAGUUUUUUUAUUCGUUUUUAAUUUUAUAUACAUUAUUUAUAAUGAAUUGUUUUAUAUUAUUUUAGAUAUUAAGUGUUUUAAAUUAUUCCAUAUAUUAUUUAUGUUGAAGUGCUAUAUAUGUUAUUUUAUCUUAAAUGUUUCAUGGAUUAUCUAUAUUGUUUAUUUUAAACUGCUUAAAAUUAUUCAUUUCAAACUAUUGACGUUUUGUCCAUGUCAAAUUUGUUUGUCUAUUUCGGAACUCC
rnacentral:lncRNA from 1 species